GGACUGAGAGGUUGAACGGCCACAUUGGGACUGAGAUCCGGCCCAGACUCCUACGGGAGGCAGCAGUCGGGAAUAUUGCGCAAUGGAGGAAACUUUGACGCAGUGACGCCGCGUAUGGGAAGAAGGUUUUCGGAUUGUAAACCAUUUUCGACAAGGAAGAAACACGACUGCCCUAGUAGUAUGGGUUGGGUCUCUCCGUGCCCCCGCCCGCGGUGUUNCGGGGGGUCCGCGCGUUUUCCGGGUUUNUUGGGUUUGUAGGGNGCGUUGGUGGGUUGUUUGUUCUGUUGUGGNGGUUUGCGGCUCCUCCGUUGGCUUGCCGUUGNUNCUGGCUGUCUUGGGUUCUGUUGGGGUGGGCGGGNUUCGUGGUGUUGCGGUGGGGUGCUUUGGUUUCUCGGGGGNCUCCGGUUGCGGGGCCGGCUUUCUGCNCUGUAACUGACAUUGAUGCUCGAAAGAGUGGGUCUCAAAAAGGAAUAGAUACCCUGGUAGUCCACACGGGUAAACGAUGAAUACUCGCUGUAGGCGAUAUACAGUCUGCGGCCAAGCGAAAGCAUUAAGUAUUCCACCUGGGGAGUACGCCGGCAACGGUGAAACUCAAAGGAAUUGACGGGGGCCCGCACAAGCGGAGGAACAUGUGGUUUAAUUCGAUGAUACGCGAGGAACCUUACCCGGGCUUAAAUUGCAACCGAAUAUGGCGGAAACGCUAUAGCUAGCAAUAGCGGUUGUGAAGGUGCUGCAUGGUUGUCGUCAGCUCGUGCCGUGAGGUGUCGGCUUAAGUGCCAUAACGAGCGCAACCCUUGCCGAUAGUUACUAACAGGUCAUGCUGAGGACUCUGUCGGGACUGCCAUCGUAAGAUGUGAGGAAGGUGGGGAUGACGUCAAAUCAGCACGGCCCUUACGUCCGGGGCUACACACGUGUUACAAUGGGGGGUACAGAGGGCUGCUACCACGCAAGUGGAUGCCAAUCCCAAAAACCUCUCUCAGUUCGGAUUGAAGUCUGCAACCCGACUUCAUGAAGCUGGAUUCGCUAGUAAUCGCGCAUCAGCCACGGCGCGGUG
rnacentral:rRNA from 1 species